rnacentral:rRNA from 1 species
UACGAAGGGGGCUAGCGUUGCUCGGAAUCACUGGGCGUAAAGCGCACGUAGGCGGAUUGUUAAGUCGGGGGUGAAAUCCUGGAGCUCAACUCCAGAACUGCCUUUGAUACUGAGAUCUUGAGUUCGGGAGAGGUGAGUGGAACUGCGAGUGUAGAGGUGAAAUUCGUAGAUAUUCGCAAGAACACCAGUGGCGAAGGCGGCUCACUGGCCCGGAUACUGACGCUGAGGCACG